rnacentral:lncRNA from 10 species
UGCAGUUCGUCCGGGCCGGGGCGCGGGCCUGGCUUCGGCCUACCGGCAGCCAGGGCCUGAGUUCCCUGGCGGAAGAGGCAGCGCGUGCGACCGAGAACCCGGAGCAGGUGGCGAGCGAGGGUAAGGCAACCGGGGUGGCUCCAGGAGGGGCGGCGACAGAGAGGUCUGACCCUUGACCCUAACCUCUGACCCCCGCAAUCGCUCCAGGUCUCCCGGAGCCCGUGCUGCGCAAAGUCGAGCUCCCGGUACCCACUCAUCGACGCCCAGUGCAGGCCUGGGUCGAGUCCUUGCGGGGCUUCGAGCAGGAGCGCGUGGGCCUGGCCGACCUGCACCCCGAUGUUUUCGCCACCGCGCCCAGGCUGGACAUACUGCACCAGGUUGCUAUGUGGCAGAAGAACUUCAAGAGAAUUGUGAGUGCCUAAAUGGAGCAAGGUGGUGGGAAGGAGCUUCCUGGGGAGGUUGGGGAUAGGACCCAGAGGAAGCCCAUCGCUGGGUUUUCUCUGGACUGCUCGGCUGGGGCCUCAUCUGUCUCCUGAACUAUUCACCGAUGGGUCCAUUUUUGGUUCUCUUUUUUUUGUUUGUUUUUGAGAUGGAGAUGGAGUCUCACUCUGUCACCCAGGCUGGAGUGCAGUGGCGCAAUCUUGGUUCACUGCAACCUCCGCUUCCUGGGUUCAAGCGAUUCUCCUGCCUCUGCCUCCUGAGUAGCUGGGAUUACAGGUGUGCACCACCAUGCAGGCUAAUUUUUGUAUUUUUAGUAGAGAUGGAGUUUCACCAUGUUGGUCAGGCUGGUCUCAAACUCCUGACCUCAAGGAACCUACCUGCCUUGGCCUCCCAAAGUGCUGGGAUUACAGGCGUGAGCCACCGUGCCCAGCUCAUUUUCAGUUGUUUUCUGAUCACUCACUGAUGUGGGCAUUGUGGUGGGUGAGAGGAUAUAGCAGGGACCACGAGGACAAAACAGGCAAGGUCCGGCUGUGUGCAAGUGGCUCAGGCCUGUAAUCCCAGCACUGGAAGCUGAGGUGGGUGGGUUGCUUGGGGCCAGGAAAGACCAGCCUGGGAAACAGCAAGACCCAGUCUCUACCCCUUCCCCCACAACCCCAAGAAAAAGAUGGGCAAAGUCCCUAUUCUAAUGAAGGUCACAGUGUCAUGGGAGGAGAAGUGAAGGUGAGUCAGAUGGUCAUACGUAAUGUGUAAUUAUGAGCAUGUCCCAGAGAAUGGGACGUUCAACCUUGGGUCUACUGUAGAAGCUAACCAGAUCAAGGAGGCAGUGGGGCUAGUGUGGAGAUAACAGGAACAGGGUGUGCAAAGGCCCUGUGGCAGGGACCACAAGGAAGCCAGUGUUGCCACAGAGGCCAGUGGGAGCAGUGGGGAGGAGUCUGGGUUUUGUGCCAAGAACAUUGAAGAAUCCAUUACCAGUCAGGGUCUUAUCCAUCCACCCCAGAGGUCUGGCCAGUCCUCCCCCUGCUCACACCUUCCCUGGCUCCCCAUCA